rnacentral:rRNA from 1 species
UACGGGGGGUGCAAGCGUUGUUCGGAUUUACUGGGCGUAAAGGGCGUGUAGGCGGACACGCAAGCCGGAGGUGAAAUCCCUGGGCUCAACCCGGGACGUGCUUUCGGAACUACGUGUCUGGAGACGGGCAGAGGCAGGUGGAAUUCCAGGUGUAGAGGUGAAAUUCGUAGAGAUCUGGAGGAACACCGGCGGCGAAGGCGGCCUGCUGGGCCUUGUCUGACGCUGAGGCGCGAAAGCGUGGGGAG